rnacentral:rRNA from 1 species
AGAGUUUGAUGAUGGCUCAGAGUGAACGCUGGCGGCGUGCCUAACACAUGCAAGUCGAACGAGAACGGAUAUAAGUUUACUUAUAUUGUCAGCUAAGUGGCGCACGGGUGAGUAAUAUAUAGUUAAUCUGCCCUGAAGAAGAGAAUAAUUGUUGGAAACGACUUGUAAUGCUCUAUAUGCCUUUAUCACAUAAGUGAGCAAGGGAAAUAUUUAUAGCUUCGGGAUGAGACUGUACGGUAUCAGCUAGUUGGUGAGGUAAUGGCUCACCAAGGCUAUGACAUCUAACUGGUUUGAGAGGAUGAUCAGUCACACUGGAACUGAGACACGGUCCAGACUCCUACGGGAGGCAGCAGUGGGGAAUAUUGCACAAUGGAGGAAACUCUGAUGCAGCAACGCCGCGUGGAGGAUGACACAUUUCGGUGCGUAAACUCCUUUUAUUAGGGAAGAUAAUGACGGUACCUAAUGAAUAAGCACCGGCUAACUCCGUGCCAGCAGCCGCGGUAAUACGGGGGGUGCAAGCGUUACUCGGAAUCACUGGGCGUAAAGAGCAUGUAGGCUGAUUAGUAAGUUGGAAGUGAAAUCCUAUGGCUCAA